UGGAGAGUCAGAGUGUCAGUGACAUGAUCAGGCCGAGAACCAUAAGGGAGGGAAUAACUCACAAAUACAGCCACAGGAGGAAUGCUGACACAAGCUUCGCAGGCCAGUGAAGGACUUCUUCAUCCUUCAAGUCUUGUCAGGUGCAUGAAUGAGCCUUUACGACGAAGGAUGUCUAUGAUCAAUUACAGAACAACAACUCCAAACAUGCGGCCAAUGUCAUUAAGAACUAUCUUCAGCAUAAAGAAGAAAAAGGAGUCCUGGAAGUAAUGAUAAGGCCCCCACAGAGGCUUGAUCUCAUCAUCAAGUGUGUCUUGCAGUACAAGAAGAGACAAAAGGAUUUGAGCAAGCCUAUAUCCACAAAAGAUGUUUGAAACAACCUCCCUGCCGAGUUCCUUCAAAAACUGAGUGCAAGUGUACCCAGAAGAAUUGAUGCUGUUCAGAAGGCAAAGGGAGGUCACACCAAAUCCUCAUUUGAUUUAGAUUUCUCUUUUGUUCAUUUGCUUAGCAUUUAGCCUUACUAAUUGUUAAAAAUAUAUUGACACCUCAAUUUUUUAAAGCAUUUUUACCUUGCAGCUUUUUUCCCCACAUCUGCCCAAAACAUUUGCACAGUACGCUACUUUUCUAAAAUAUCAGAAAGUGACUCACUAACCAUGAAAACUUCAUACCACCUAUAAAUCGUAAGUAUCCAUCAUAUGUAGAUUAUACAGAGAACUAUUCCUUCCACCAGAAUGAUUGAUAGUCACACAGUCCUGCUCAGAACUGAUACUGAUCUGCUUUUGGAGGGAUCUUGGCCGCUUUAAUGAUGAUGUAGCAGCCAUCCAUAGUUUUGGCAGGACAGAGAUUGUGCAUACAGUGGACUACUUGCAGCCUCUUUGGCAUGUCUUUUAGUUCUAUGCCAAACUACUCUUCCACAGGUUGUUACUGUACUAUGCAACUGGCAGCAUAUAUCAUGCAGAUCACCAGGAUCAGACUGGCCUACUAAAUACCAGAGGAUUCUUCGGUGGUCCCAGUCUAUGAAGCCAUAAUGGGCCCCAAAGGUCCAAGAGAAAGUUGCAUUUAGAGCUU